AGCGAACGCUGGCGGCAGGCUUAACACAUGCAAGUCGAGCGGGCACUUCGGUGUCAGCGGCAGACGGGUGAGUAACACGUGGGAACGUACCCUUUGGUUCGGAAUAACGCUGGGAAACUAGCGCUAAUACCGGAUACGCCCUUUUGGGGAAAGGCUUGCUGCCGAAGGAUCGGCCCGCGUCUGAUUAGCUAGUUGGUGGGGUAAUGGCCUACCAAGGCGACGAUCAGUAGCUGUCUGAGAGGAUGAUCAGCCACACUGGGACUGAGACACGGCCCAGACUCCUACGGGAGGCAGCAGUGGGGAAUAUUGGACAAUGGGCGCAAGCCUGAUCCAGCCAUGCCGCGUGAGUGAUGAAGGCCUUAGGGUUGUAAAGCUCUUUUGUCCGGGACGAUAAUGACGGUACCGGAAGAAUAAGCCCCGGCUAACUUCGUG
rnacentral:rRNA from 1 species